AUGGAGUUCAGCACUUAGCUGUAAACAUUAUGGAGCCACUCUGACUCCAGAGAAAGACACAGUACACGUUGCAUGCAGAUGCCAGCCUCAAAAGGGUGAUCCUUAUUUUUGAUGCCUGGAGACUGGAUUACUGAGGUAGCAGCAUCUUGAGGAUAAUGCCAGACAUGACCUGCUCCAUAAGGAUCCUUCAUUAAGGUGAAGAGACAUUGUGAGCUGACAGAACUUUGGCUCUUGAUCACUAGCACACCACGAGACAGAUUUAACAAACCGCCCUGCUUACCAACAGCAUUUGAUGACUUUGUCCCAUCUUUGGACUGUAAGUUUGCCUCCAGUCUCCCUGGGUACUGUGGAUACUACCAUCAUAGAUACUACAGUCAUGAAAGGGAUGUUGAAUAGAUUACAGAAGGAAUAGAGACUGAAAUGUAUUGUACAGAUUUGGUCUUAAUUUCGGGAAGCAGAAUGGUGUAGUAAAUGAAGUCCUGACUAGGACUCAGGGGACCUGAAUUCUAUUCCUGGCUCUGUCUUGGGCCUGCUGGGUGACCAGGGAGCCAUUCCACCUUCUUAAGGUGCACAACUCCCUGAAUGUGAAGAGGAGGCCCCCUGGGUCUCAGAACCCAGGCUCCAGCCCAAAUCCAGAUGUCUACACUGCAAUUUUUAGACCUGCAGCCUAAGUCCCAAGAGCCAAAGUUAGCGGACCCAGUGACCCGUAAGCAUAAUUCACUUUUCUUCACUGACUCUGAAAAUGGCUGAAUUGCAUGUGCAUCACUGAGGAAAGGAUGCUGUGGGAGGUCAGAGCAAUGGUGUCAUGCAAGUGAAUGCAAAUAUGUGAGUUCUUGCUCUGAACUUUUGUAAGUUCAAUCAGGGAGCUCUGGAACAAUGUGAAUUUUUGCUUGUGGGAGGCCAGAGUGGUUAAAU